AACGGGUGAGGAACACGUGAGGAAUCUGCCUUUCACUUCGGGAUAACUCCGGGAAACCGGGGCUAAUACCGGAUAUUUUCAACUGGCGGCAUCGCCGGUUGAAGAAAGUUUUUCGGUGAAAGAUGACCUCGCGGCCUAUCAGCUUGUUGGUGAGGUAAUGGCUCACCAAGGCAACGACGGGUAGCCGGCCUGAGAGGGCGACCGGCCACACUGGGACUGAGACACGGCCCAGACUCCUACGGGAGGCAGCAGUGGGGAAUAUUGGGCAAUGGAGGAAACUCUGACCCAGCGACGCCGCGUGAGGGAUGAAGGCCUUCGGGUUGUAAACCUCUUUCAGCAGGGAAUAAGCGAAAGUGAAGGUACCUGCAGAAGAAGCACCGGCUAACUAUGUGCCAGCAGCCGCGGUAAUACAUAGGGUGCAAGCGUUGUCCGGAAUUAUUGGGCGUAAAGAGCUCGUAGGUGGUCGAUCACGUCGGAUGUGAAAAUCUGAGGCUUAACCUCAGACCUGCAUUCGAUACGGGUUGACUGGAGUGUGGUAGGGGAGACUGGAAUUCCUGGUGUACCGGUGGAAUGCGCAGAUAUCAGGAGGAACACCGAUGGCGAAGCCAGGUCUCUGGCCCAUUACUGACACUGAGGAGCGAAAGCGUGGGGAGCGAACAGGAUUAGAUACCCUGGUAGUCCACGCCGUAAACGGUGGGCGCUAGUUGUGGGAACCUUCCACGGUUUCUGCGACGCAGCUAACGCAUUAAGCGCCCCGCCUGGGGAGUACGGUCGCAAGACUAAAACUCAAAGAAAUUGACGGGGCCCCGCACAAGCAGCGGAGCAUGCGGCUCAAUUCGACGCAACGCGAAGAACCUUACCAAGGCUUGACAUAUACAGGAAUACGGCAGAGAUGUCGUAGCCGCAAGGUCUGUAUACAGGUGGUGCAUGGUUGUCGUCAGCUCGUGUCGUGAGAUGUUGGGUUAAGUCCCGCAACGAGCGCAACCCUCGUCCUGUGUUACCAGCAUUUAGUUGGGGACUCACAGGAGACUGCCGGGGUCAACUCGGAGGAAGGUGGGGAUGACGUCAAAUCAUCAUGCCCCUUAUGUCUUGGGCUGCACGCAUGCUACAAUGGCUGGUACAAAGGGCUGCGAUACCGCAAGUGGAGCGAAUCCCAGAAAGCCAGUCUCAGUUCGGAUUGGGUCUCAC
rnacentral:rRNA from 1 species